AAGGUUAGACAGAGCGAGGUCCACUCAAGCUUUAACAUGAAUUAUGAAUUCAUGUUUAAGUUUGGUUGACUUAAAAUAAAACACGUACUUAGACUCCUACUUCGAUUGUGUCUUAAAAGUUGUGACAACAACAAAUCAAGCAUACAUACCCUUGGCUGUUUGGAAUGGAGCAUUAUGAUUCUUUUUAUCUGGUAUUGAAGGACACAGUACGAAUUCAUCCAGCAGAAGAAACAUUGAAAAAAGAAUAAAGACGAAAAGGAUUGGUUAGGCUUUGUAUUCGGAUUCUCCACUGUUGAAAAUACUGAGUAUGGAUACCAGUUUCAGUUGUACACUCCAACCUUUGUUGGAAAGUGAUAUGCAGAUUGGACCAAAGUUUUCAGUCAAAUGACGGCUAUUUUUCUUGAUGGUGAUAUGAGAUGGAAUCGAUGCCUUAGAGAAGGAAAGGAAUUAGUGAUGUAGUAUAUUCUGGAAUUCUCCAAUCCAAUGCAGAAUGCACGGCAUCAUUAAAAGAUAGAAAAGAUGCUUAAAAUAGUUGUAGGCCAUGAGUAGUUUCCUAAAAUGAUUAAAGGCCAUUACUAUUUUCAUAUUGCAAGUAUGCAAUCAUGGAAGUUUAUGCAUAGAAAUCGAAUCCUAAAGAAAGUUUGAGCGGAAAUAAUGAACAGGAUAAGUUUAUCCCCUCUGAUAUCAGACAUGUUCUGUCCAGAAAACCUGUAGUGACAAUGUAUGUGAUCAAGAAAAGCGUCUAAAAGGAUCUUUUU